UACGUAGGGGGCGAGCGUUGUCCGGAAUUAUUGGGCGUAAAGAGCUCGUAGGUGGCCUGUCGCGUCGGCUGUGAAAACUCGGGGCUCACUCCGAGCUUGCCGUCGAUACGGGCAGGCUAGAGUUCGGCAGGGGAGACUGGAAUUCCUGGUGUAGCGGUGAAAUGCGCAGAUAUCAGGAGGAACACCUGUGGCGAAAGCGGCUCACUGGACCAUAACUGACGCUGAUGCACGAAAGCUAGGGGAGCAAACAGG
rnacentral:rRNA from 1 species